rnacentral:pre_miRNA from 9 species
UUUCGAUAGCGUAAAAGUUAACUCGUAUUUGUAUGGAGCUUGGAACGUUUGCCUACGUUUGCCGCUAGAGGCGCUGUUCCAAUUGCAUACAAAUACGAGUCAACUUUUACGCUAUCGA